GGAGAAUUAGCUCAGCUGGGAGAGCAUCUCGCCUUACAAGCAGAGGGUCGGCGGUUCGAACCCGUCAUUCUCCACCA
rnacentral:tRNA from 1 species